CCCUGAACUCACCUGAGGCCACCCCCACCGCCCCAGCCGAGUAUUAAAACAAGGCAGGCUGAAUAAAGCGACAGGUGCACCUCGGCUACACAUUACACGGAAACACAGCACAUGAACAACAAGCGAGUCUCCAAACACAAAUUAGUCGGCAACAACAGUUGGUUUGGAUGGCAUCACAGUGCCUCAGCAGCGUGUUGACAAACGCCAACUUCACAAUGUAUCAGAAUGGUGUGCCUGAUAUGCUGCCGCAUCAAGGCAGCCAGCACAACAGCAACCUGGCCUAUGGCUCCUACAACGGUCUGUGGUAUGGUCAGAUGAAUCCCCUCUCCUGGACGGCGGAAAAUGUGAUGGAGUGGAUCAGCGCCCAGGCUGACAGCGCCAAGUUUGACGCCAGUACCCUAACUCUGUCCUACUGCGCCAUGGACGGCCACAGCUUGUGCCAGAUGACCCUGGAGCAGAUGACCAUGGUGUUUGGACCUCAGCUUGGUCCGCACCUUCACCAAAACUUGCAAGAACACAAAGCCAAAUAUGAACUGACAAGCCUAUCAGGACCAGAGCUAAAUGAAACGUGCCAGCUCCUCGAAGGGUUCCUACACAACCUAAACCUCCCAGACAACGUGUCCUUCCCCUUGAUCAGCACCGUCAAAUUUGGUGAAGACUCGCUCGGUAAAAUGGCAUUGGACAACGGUGAUAACGGAGAUGCGCUCAGCCUGAUCAUGGGGGCCAUGACACCUGUGGCGGACGAGUAUCUGUCCGAUAAUCAGUCUGAAAGCGAGUGGAGCUCUUCAUCCAACAGCGGCCUGUUUGGCUUCUCCAACCUUGGCUCACCGGAGGAGUCUGGCAGUGGAGAAUCUGACCCGGAGUUCUCCUACCCUGCGAUUUCAAAAACGCUGAUUAAGAAGGAGAAAGCAGAGUCGCAAAUGAAACGGCCACGGGGGCGACCUCCCAAAGUCAACAGAGAGCACAGCCAUAUUUACGACCCUUCGAAGAAAAGUAAACAUGGCGCCGUCUACCCGCGUGAGCUCACAUGGGCGCCCUGCCCUGUUUGUUGUCCGCAGCACCUCGGGGGACUCAUCUUUGGGAGUUCAUCCGAGAUAUUCUCAUUCACCCGGAAAAGAACCAGGGCCUGAUGAAGUGGGAAGACCGCCGCGAGGGCGUUUUCAAGUUCCUCAAGUCUGAGGCCGUGGCUCAAAUGUGGGGCCAAAAGAAGAAGAACAGCAGCAUGACGUACGAGAAACUCAGUCGCGCUAUGAGGUACUACUACAAACGCGAGAUCCUGGAGCGGGUCGACGGACGGCGGCUGGUCUACAAGUUUGGAAAGAAUUCCAGCGGGUGGAAGGUCGAAGAGCUGGGAAUGAGCAUGUGAAGCUUUCAUUCUCCACGGCAGUUGAACCGAAAGCGUCAAAGUCGUUCCGAACUCGAACGACCUGCUUGUCCUGUCAACGGGAAAAUGUCGCUGCCCAAAUGUUAAGACACGAACUUCCUUUUUGAAGGAAGGUGUUGCAGAAAACGUAAGCCACUCUUUUGGGCUCCUGUAGGUUUUGUGAACCGAUUUUAACCUUGUUGUGUACGUAUGCACGUGCUUGAUUGACAUGAAACUCAAAUGUUUUCUUGCAUUGUAUUCCUACGUUUUAUUUUUGAAAAUAAGUCGGGCUUUGUGACUUCCAAUGAGCUGAGCUGAGCUGAGCUGAGCUGAGAAUCUACUGGAUUUCCUUCUCUUAUACUCACUGGAAAAGUGUAAACAACAACAUCAACAACAACAACAACCAUAUUGUCGCAACGUGUAGUUGGACUUCACUUGCGCAUGGAACGAUUGUAACAACGCGGGCUACGUCUUUUGCCAUCACUUAUUGUAAAGUGAUUUGUUUUGAAGAGAAAUAAGUGGGCUUUUGCAAUUUAGAAACGUUUCAUCUGCUUGUACCUUUUGUCAUGGCCAUCCACCAACGUGUCCCCCACUUUGGAUGUGGGAUGAAAACGUGACAUAGCUUCUGUAUUUAUUUCCUUUUUACGCACCUUGGCUGUAAAGAUUUGUACGUGAAUGAAACAAUAAAUGUUUGAAUGAAAA